GGCCCAUUAGCUCAGUUGGUAGAGCACCUGACUCUUAAUCAGGGUGUCGUAGGUUCGAGGCCUACAUGGGUCA
rfam:Phascolarctobacterium sp. YIT 12067 genomic scaffold Scfld131, whole genome shotgun sequence.